rnacentral:lncRNA from 1 species
AUAGUUGCAAAAAUUACACACAGUCUCAAGUAUUAUACAUGAAUAGAUCUCAAAGGUUGGAUGCAAAAAUGUUUUAAAAUGAUUACAAAAUAAAUUAGAAAAGGAAAUUAAAAAGAAAAAGAAAUAAAAAUAACAAUUAAUGCAAAAAUGAUUUUAAAAAUUCAAAGAAAAAUGUAUGUGAUGCAAAAUAUCUUUAAAGACUUUGUGUAAAAAAACUUGGAUCAAAAUGCAUUAAAAUGAGUGAGAAAUUAAAUUGAAAAGAAAAUGAAUAAAAUAAAAAUAAAAUAAAAUAGAAUAAGGCGCCAACAACUAGGGAAUUC